rnacentral:lncRNA from 1 species
AUUGUGUUGUCAAUUUCUCAACCUUUGAAAUUUAAUUAACUAGUUAGUAUUUUAUUACCAAUAUGGCGCAUAAUCUUGCCAUCCUUUCCACAGCUCUCCUUGUGAUUAUUGCUGGUAAGUCAUUUCAUCAUAAUCCUAUAUUUUAAAAGGAAACAAGGUUAAAUUAGCUCAUAUAUUAAGCAGCAAGAUCAAUUUUAUUCUUCGUUAUAUUUUUUCCUACAAAGAUACCUUUGAUGUUAACAAUGCUAGGUGUGACCUAGAAACAGUGACGGCUCAAGCAUAUUUGUGGCCUAGGAUAAAAAUAAAACGGAGUUCUUAAAUUUUUUUAAAAAAUAACCCUUUUUUGAUGAACUUUUUUUUCAAAAUUAUAUAAUCAAUUUUUUUAAUUAAUAUUUUUUAAGUAAUAAUAUAAUUAAUGCAUUUAAUCUUUCUUGAGACAUAGUACUCACAUAUAUGAACUUCUUCUAGUAAUUCUUUCCUUUUAUAUGAAAAUUUUAUUUUUUCUAUAAAUAAUAUGUAAUUUUUUUUAAAAAAUAAAUUAUAAUAUAUUAUCAGUAAAAAAUGAGGCCCCUUAAAUUUGGGGGUCUAAAUCGGCGGCCUAUUUUUUUAUGAGGUUGAGCUGCCCCUGCCUAGAAAACGAAAACAGUGAGACCUAAGAUCUCAUCGAACGAGAAGUUCGAAGAUGGAGACCACGUUCGACACAAAAUCAUAAAGGUUUAAGAACCCGUUGGUCAAAGGAAAGGAAAGGUAUGACUUUCGGGACAAAGUCAUAUGACGCAAGAGUGUCACGUACGAUUCUUUUGAGAAGAAUGUAAUACCGCUACCUAUUAGGCUCGAUGACCGAUCCACGGAGCUGCAUCGCUGCUCACCUAUUGAUGGUAGAAACGACAAUAGAAAGGAGGAGAAGGUAAAAUAGAUUGAGCUAGUGAGGUGGGCAUGCCACGUGGUGUUUACCUCAUCAAAAUGUGGUGAGUGCCAAGUGGAGUUUGACAUCUAUUAUGGACAGUCCUAAUGGAGGAGGAGGAAUAUGUUUGAAAAAUUUGCUGACAUCUUGGGUAUUCUUUUAGGGAAAACAUAAACGAUGGUAAAAUUAAUUAUUUUCACCUACUAGUAAGCAAAUUUCACUAUUUUCCGUUUUGACAAAUAAAUAGGUUGUCAAAUAGGGGCGGAGCUAGCUUUGGGUUAGGGGUUUCUUCGACAGAAAACUAUACUAUUUAAUAUUUAUACAUUGCUAUAAUUAUUUUUUAUGUGUAUAUAGUAACUAUAGAACCCCUUCGACUCGUUCAUUUGUUUACUUUUUUAUAUUUUGAACCUCCAUUACAAAAAUUCUGGCUCUGCCACUGCUGUCAGACAUACAUAUAUGACUUUCUUUGUGAAAUUAUUUGAGUACUAUGUUGGUGUUGGUGUUGGUGUUGGUGUUGGUGUUGGUGUUGUUGGCACAUAUAUGAGUUGGACUUUUAAUUUUGAAUUUUGCAGCUCAUUCUUUGUGUUCUACAAAAAUUUAUAAUGUGAUGGCCCAAGAAGAUCAUAAUGUACUAGAACUAGCAACUAAACUAUACCAAGAAGAUCCAUAUUGUGGGGAACCUUGUACAACGAUGGCUAAUUGCUCUACUAAUUUGUACUGUCAGGCGUGUUCAAAUAACACCUGUGAGCUAUUUAUUGGCGAUGCCAUCGGCCAAGGCAUGUGAUUUCACUAUGAGUAUAGCAUCUAAUACCCCUAAUUAUAACCAAAUUUGUUACAACACAUUCUAAUUUCACGGGAGUCCUAUUACUUCUGAACUAAACUUUAGUGUGUUUUUGUCAACCUUUUUAGCUGACGUGAGCCCCAUUUUAUGUAAUAAUGAUUCCACAUCAGCACAAAAGGGUGACAAAAAUACAUUAAAAUGAAGUUCAGGGGCUUAAUAGGACCCCAAUGAAGUUGGAGUAUGUCGUAGCAACUUUGUUCAUAAUUCGACGGUGUGCUGGAUGCUUAUCUCUAUUUCAGUAUUAUAUUUUUCUGUUUAUGAUGUGCGUUACUUGAGCCUAGGAUUUGCUACUCUAUCCAGAUCGCAAUUAUAUAUAGAAUUAUAACAAUUAUGUUGUCGUUGUUGUUGUUUUGUUCUUCUUUUUGAUAUUUAGUCACUUGUAAGAUAAACAAGUGAUGGAAGUGUUGUUUAAAUGGGCCAUGUAAUGCGAUUUCAGUAUUAUCUAUUAUCAUGUGUGUUUGUGCUUCUUUUCAACAUUUAGUCACUUGUAAGAUAAACUAGAUGAAGCAUGCUCGUACUUAGCACGAGUCCUACAAUAAUGGUCUGUCAUUUUCACUAUGGAGUUACUAGUCCAUAUUGAAAUCAAAAUAGAUAAGAAAGAUGACCGGCC